rnacentral:tRNA from 1 species
UAUAUUAUAGUUUAUGAAGAACAUUAAUUUUUGAUAUUAAGAGCCAGUUUAAUUCUGUUAAUAUAA